AUUCUGUCUCGUUCUGCCUUAUUCUGUCUGUUCUGUGAGCGCUCAGCCAGGUCUGUUCUGUGAGCGCUCAGCCAGGUCUGUUCUGUGAGCGCUCAGCCAGGUUGUUUGGAAUUUGGGCGGGACGAAGAAGGAGCUGACGAGCUCGGAUUUCUCGCCCCGCAGCCCUGGAAGACGUUCCAAGGGUGUUAGGGCCCGACUUUUCGGGGCCCAAUCUGGGACUCUGGUUAGAGGAGAAGGAUCCGGACUAACGGCACCUCUGUCUGUAUUUUUGGCUUUCAGAGGACCCCGGACCUUUGCCACCUCCAUCUGACUUUUUGCUUUCAGUUUGGUACCAAAGCCGUGCAGCACGCCUGUCUGUUGUUUGUUUGACUGUUGGUGUUGUUUGUUUUCUCUGUGUCCUAAUCUUCCUUAGAACUAACAUGGGACAGUCCCUAACAAUGCCCCUAAGUCUCACUCUUGAUCAUUAGAAAGACGUCCAUGACCGGGCACACAACCAGUCCGUCGAGGUUAAAAAAGGAAAAUGACAGACUCUCUGCACAUCUGAGUGGCCCACUUUCGGAGCGGGAUGGCCAGUGAAUGACACAUUUAAUAAGAUCAUUAUUUUACAGGUUAAAGAUCGGGUCGUCCACGGACAUCCUGACCAGGUUUCUUAUAUUAUCACUUGAGAGAGUCUCGCCUUAACCCCCCCCCCCCGGGCGGAACCCUUCGUGGACCCGAAUUGGCCUCCCCUCAACCCCCAGCCUGUCCCCUCGGCCCCGCCCGGUCUGCCGGCCACGUCUUCCUCUCUCUACCUUUGUGAAAUCAGAGCCUUCUAAGAAACCUGUCCUCCUGGCAGACCCAAACUCCCCUCUCAUAGAUCUUCUCUCUGACAGGCCCGGCUAAAACGGAGGAGGCAGAGCUGCCGGCCAGAUCAGUUGCCGGGCCACAGUCUGAUAAGGGUUUCUCCCCUGUCGCAGGGAGAUUGCACAAUAAGCGCGAGGUGAUGCCAGAUUCAACCUCC
ensembl:lncRNA